rnacentral:tRNA from 1 species
GCCUCUGUGGUGUAAUGGAUAGCACAAUGGUCUUCGGAACCAUUAGUCAGGGUUCAAAUCCUUGCAGGGGUACCA